rnacentral:rRNA from 1 species
UACGUAGGGUGCGAGCGUUGUCCGGAAUUAUUGGGCGUAAAGAGCUCGUAGGCGGUCUGUCGCGUCGAAUGUGAAAACCCGGGGCUCAACUCCGGGCUUGCAUUCGAUACGGGCAGGCUAGAGUUCGGUAGGGGAGUCUGGAAUUCCUGGUGUAGCGGUGAAAUGCGCAGAUAUCUGGAGGAACACCGGUGGCGAAGGCGGCAUCCUGGACCGAGAUUGACGCUGAUGCGCGAAAGCCAGGGGAGCAAACGGG